UCUCCGUAGGUGAACCUGCGGAGGGAUCAUUACUGAGUGAGGGGCUCCGGCCCCAGACCUCCAACCCAUUGUUAUCCGACACUGUUGCCUCGGGGGCGACCCGGCCUUCGGGCGUCGGGGCCCCCGGUGGACCACCCAACCCUGCAUCGUUGCGUCUGAGUCGAAAUAUAAAUCAAUCAAAACUUUCAACAACGGAUCUCUUGGUUCUGGCAUCGAUGAAGAACGCAGC
rnacentral:misc_RNA from 1 species